GACGCGGAGGACAUUA
rnacentral:rRNA from 1 species